rnacentral:rRNA from 1 species
GUGCCAGCAGCCGCGGUAAAACGUAGGACGCAAGCGUUAUCCGGAGUUACUGGGCGUAAAGCGCGGGCAGGCGGCCUGGAAAGUCUGAUGUGAAAGCGCCCGGCUCAACCGGGCGAGGCCAUUGGAAACUAGCAGGCUGGAGGGCAGUAGAGGCAGGCGGAAUUCCGGGUGGAGUGGUGAAAUGCGUAGAGAUCCGGAGGAACACCAGAGGCGAAGGCGGCCUGCUGGGCUGCACCUGACGCUGAGCCGCGAAAGCCAGGGGAGCGAACGGGAUUAGAAACCCCCGUAGUCC